AGGGUUUGCAUUCGAUCUUCGUCUUCCGGUUUGAGAUUCAUUGGUGUACUUUAUUCGGUGAUUUUAUAAUACCUUUCUUUUCGUCGCAUUACGAAGCGAUACAUCGAAGACUUCGUUCAAAGUAGCGUACCGUUCCACCGCAACGCAGGACCGCGUGGAUGGUGGAUGCGCCGCCCGUCCACGCGUGGAGGGACGCAGCCGCUACUGCCGUGCCGAGGAAGGCGAGGGAGUGCUCGCUCCUCGCAGGAUUCACUGGAGUACCCU
rnacentral:misc_RNA from 1 species